GACAGAGGGUGCAAACGUUGUUCGGAAUUACUGGGCGUAAAGCGAGUGUAGGCGGUCUCGUAAGUCGGGUGUGAAAGCCCCGGGCUCAACCCGGGAAGUGCACUCGAAACUGCGAGGCUAGAGUAUCGGAGAGGUUGGUGGAAUUCUCGGUGUAGAGGUGAAAUUCGUAGAUAUCGAGAGGAACACCGGUGGCGAAGGCGGCCAACUGGACGAAUACUGACGCUGAGACUCGAAAGCGUGGGGGGCAAACAGG
rnacentral:rRNA from 1 species